rnacentral:rRNA from 1 species
CUAUUCCUACGGGGCGCAGCAGUCGGGAAUAUUGCGCAAUGGAGGAAACUCUGACGCAGUGACGCCGCGUAUAGGAAGAAGGUUUUCGAAUUGUAAACUAUUGUCGUUAGGGAAGAGGAAGGACAGUACCUAAGGAGGAAGCUCCGGCUAACUACGUGCCAGCAGCCGCGGUAAUACGUAGGGAGCGAGCGUUAUCCGGAAUUAUUGGGUGUAAAGGGUGCGUAGACGGGAAAACAAGUUAGUUGUGAAAUCCCUCGGCUUAACUGAGGAACUGCAACUAAAACUAUUUUUCUUGAGUGCAGGAG